GCGCUCCAGGCAGCGGCCGGAGCCCCCUGUAAGCAGGGGUGCAGCCUCUUUGGCCACUGCUUUGCAUGCCCAGCUACCUUUGCCCAGAGGGCCCGGCUCCCAGCAGCGGAUGGGACUGCGUCGCUCUGAAGCCGUCGGAGAAGAAAGAAGAGACAGGACUGGAACUUUGAGGCAAGAGCGAAGAAGAGGAGCAGCAGCUUCGAGCUCAAGAGUGGAGCAGCGAGGCAAGAGCCAAGCAGAGGAGCAGCAGCGUCGAGCUCAAGAGGGAGCACGACAGAGACCCUCUGGGCAAAUGCACCUCCCUGGCCCCCCCCGGGCAGGGAUCCGUAAGAGUCCGGCGGGCAGCUUCAGGCUGCCCCGGCUGGCUUUGCGCUGGGCGACCUCCCUGUAAGCAGGGCUGGGUCUUUGCUU